rnacentral:rRNA from 1 species
UACAGAGGUCUCAAGCGUUGUUCGGAAUUACUGGGCGUAAAGGGCGCGUAGGCGGCCUUCUAAGUCAGACGUGAAAUCCCUCGGCUCAACCGAGGAACUGCGUCUGAUACUGGAAGGCUUGAAUCCGGGAGAGGGAUGUGGAAUUCCAGGUGUAGCGGUGAAAUGCGUAGAUAUCUGGAGGAACACCGGUGGCGAAGGCGGGUCUCUGGGCCGAUACUGACGCUGAGGAGCGAAAGCGUGGGGAGCGAACAGG